UACGUAGGGCGCAAGCGUUAUCCGGAAUUAUUGGGCGUAAAGAGCUCGUAGGCGGUCUGUCGCGUCUGCUGUGAAAACCUAGGGCUUAACUCUGGGCGUGCAGUGGGUACGGGCAGGCUAGAGUGCGGUAGGGGGAGACUGGAAUUCCUGGUGUAGCGGUGAAAUGCGCAGAUAUCAGGAGGAACACCGGUGGCGAAGGCGGGUCUCUGGGCCGUAACUGACGCUGAGGAGCGAAAGCAUGGGUAGCGAACAGG
rnacentral:rRNA from 1 species